rnacentral:sRNA from 1 species
UGUUUAAUUUUACCAAACUGGAUUAGAUGGUGGGACGGAUUUUACUAUUACGGUUUACUAGAGAAAAAGAAAGAG